rfam:Burkholderiales bacterium 70-64 SCNpilot_expt_1000_bf_scaffold_430, whole genome shotgun sequence.
CGCCUCACGCCUGAAAGGGCGACGGUGAUGAACCGCAGCGAGAAGUCAGCCGAGGUCGUAGUAGCCGCAGCCAGCCACAGAGGCUGAAGGGCACGGCGAAGGAC